GACGAAGGAUCCAAGCGUUAUCCGGAUUUAUUGGGUUUAAAGGGUGCGUAGGUGGACUUGUAAGUCAGUGGUGAAAGCCCGAUGCUUAACAUCGGAACUGCCAUUGAUACUGCAAGUCUUGAAUAUGUUUGAAGUGGGCGGAAUGUGUCGUGUAGCGGUGAAAUGCUUAGAUAUGACACAGAACACCGAUUGCGAAGGCAGCUCACUAAACCAUUAUUGACACUGAGGCACGAAAGCGUGGGGAGCAAACAGG
rnacentral:rRNA from 2 species